CGGGCGGCCGUGACCCUGCUGGAGUGCGGGGGGGACCUCCAGCCCCCCGGGGGGUCCCUGACAUGGCUGUGCCGAGAGUCCGGGUUCAGUUUCGGUGGUUUCCACAUGAGCUGGUAUCGCCAGAGACCUGGGAAGGGGCUGGAGUGGCUCACGAGUAUCAGCAACGAUGGUGGCAGCACCGAGUACGCGGAUUCCGUCAAGGGCCGGUUCAGGAUCUCCAGGGACAACGGGCAGAGCUCGGUGACGCUGACCAUGAACAACCUCAAGGAUGAGGAUUCCGCAUCCUAUUUCUGUGGCAGAAGUGUUGUUGGUAGUGCUGGUUGGGGUGCUGCUGCAGCGUCGAUCAGCGCCAGCCUUUCCAGCACCUGCCCGCGCCUCUGGCGGGUCCAGGUGAUGGAGUGA